rnacentral:rRNA from 1 species
GUAGGUGGCAAGCGUUGUCCGGAAUUAUUGGGCGUAAAGCGCGCGCAGGCGGUCCUUUAAGUCUGAUGUGAAAGCCCACGGCUCAACCGUGGAGGGUCAUUGGAAACUGGGGGACUUGAGUACAGAAGAGGAAAGCGGAAUUCCAAGUGUAGCGGUGAAAUGCGUAGAGAUUUGGAGGAACACCAGUGGCGAAGGCGGCUUUCUGGUCUGUAACUGACGCUGAGGCGCGAAAGCGUGGGGAGCAAACAGGGAUUAGAUACCCUGGUAGUCCACGCCGUAAACGAAGAGUGCUAAGUGUUAGGGGGUUUCCCGCCCCCUUAGUGCUGCAGCUAACGCAUUAAGCACUCCGCCUGGGGAGUACGGCCGCAAGGCUG